rnacentral:rRNA from 1 species
GCAAGUCGAACGGCAGCGCGGGGAGCUUGCUCCCUGGCGGCGAGUGGCGGACGGGUGAGUAACGCGUGGGAAUCUACCCAGUAGUUGGGGAUAGCCCGGAGAAAUCCGGAUUAAUACCGAAUAAUGUCUACGGACGAAAAGGUGCCUCUUCUUGAAAGCACUUGCUAUUGGAUGAGCCCGCGUUAGAUUAGUUUGUUGGUGGGGUAACGGCCUACCAAGACUGCGAUCUAUAGCUGGUUUGAGAGGAUGAUC